GCCCCUCCUGGAGAACUUAAAGGAGGAGAACAGAAGAACUUCACAUAGCCCUAAAGUCUAGCCAUGUCCAAGGAUUUGGUGACAUUUGGAGAUGUGUCUAUAAAUUUCACUCAAGAGGAGUGGGAAUGGCUGAACCCUGCUCAGAGGAAUUUGUACAGGAAGGUGAUGUUGGAGAACUACAGAAGCCUGGUGUCACUGGGAAUUUCUGUUUAUAAGCCAGAUGUGAUCUCAUUAUUGGAACAAGGAAAAGAGCCCUGG